rnacentral:tRNA from 1 species
GGGACAGUAGCUCAACUGGACAGAGCGAUGGUUUCCUAAACCGUAGGUUGGGAGUUCGAGUCUCCCCUGUCCCACCA